rnacentral:rRNA from 1 species
CAGUCGCCACGGGAAUACGAAGGGUGCAAGCGUUAAUCGGAAUUACUGGGCGUAAAGCGUGCGUAGGCGGUGAGUUAAGUCUGCUGUGAAAUCCCCGGGCUCAACCUGGGAAUGGCAAUGGAUACUGGCAAGCUAGAGUGUGUCAGAGGAUGGUGGAAUUCCCGGUGUAGCGGUGAAAUGCGUAGAGAUCGGGAGGAACAUCAGUGGCGAAGGCGGCCAUCUGGGACAACACUGACGCUGAGGCACGAAAGCGUGGGGAGCAAACAGGAUUAGAUACCCCUGUAGUCCCUGUCUCUUAUAA